rnacentral:rRNA from 1 species
AGCGGCGGACGGGUGAGUAACGCGUAGGAAUCUACCUAGUAGUGGGGGACAACAUGUGGAAACGCAUGCUAAUACCGCAUACGCCCUAAGGGGGAAAGCAGGGGAUCUUCGGACCUUGCGCUAUUGGAUGAGCCUGCGUCGGAUUAGCUAGUUGGUGGGGUAAUGGCCUACCAAGGCAACGAUCCGUAGCUGGUCUGAGAGGAUGAUCAGCCACACUGGAACUGAGACACGGUCCAGACUCCUACGGGAGGCAGCAGUGGGGAAUAUUGGACAAUGGGCGCAAGCCUGAUCCAGCCAUGCCGCGUGUGUGAAGAAGGCUCUAGGGUUGUAAAGCACUUUCAGUAGGGAGGAAAAGUUGGUAGUUAAUAACUGCUAACCCUGACGUUACCUACAGAAGAAGCACCGGCAAACUCCGUGCCAGCAGCCGCGGUAAUACGGAGGGUGCGAGCGUUAAUCGGAAUUACUGGGCGUAAAGCGCGCGUAGGCGGUUUGAUAAGCUGAAUGUGAAAGCCCUGGGCUCAACCUGGGAAUUGCAUCCAGAACUGUCUGACUAGAGUACAGUAGAGGUGAGUGGAAUUUCCUGUGUAGCGGUGAAAUGCGUAGAUAUAGGAAGGAUCAUCAGUGGCGAAGCGACUCACUGGACUGAUACUGACGCUGAGUGCGAAAGCGUGGGGAGCAACAGAUAGAUACCCUGGUAGUCCACGCCGA